AGUUUCUCCAACCACAAAACAAGAGUCCACGUUUCUACAUAUAUAGACAACAACCACUUUCCCAAAACCUAAUCACAUUGCACAUCCAAACCCCAUUCUUUGUUUACAUUACAAGUAAAAUCCAAACUAUUAUAAAAAAAGCCAAGAUGCAGAGUUGGAGAAAGUAAGAUAUGCAUAAGAAGGUUCCAGGAAUCAAGGGUCAAGAUCAUGUGACUAAACCCAUAAGAUAAGGAGACACCUCUCUCUCUCUCUCUCUCCUUUUUAUGAAUAGGGUUUAUUAGAAUAUCCCAUGAUGUCUCACCUCACCUUGUCUUUCAGCAUCCACUUUUGUUGUAGUUCAGUAGUUUUACUAUACAUAUAGCAGCAGCUAGUGAAGUUGGUGCCGAAAACAAUGUCAGUUUCUAUACAAGCGGCGGAGCACAGCUCACUCAGCCGCUCACGGUGGUCUCCGGCAAGAAAAGCGCGCUUUCAUGGUUCUUUACUGCACCACCAUGCAAGAGGCUCAACCCCAUCAUCAUCGAAACUGUACGAGGAAGAAAUGAGAUUAAUACACACAGGGCCUAAUCCUCUUCACAACUAAGCCACCAGCUGAGGCUUUGCUUGCUUGCUUGCUACUGUGGUUAGUUAAUUUCUAGAGCAAAAAAAAAAAAGAAAAAAGAAAGAAAGAAGAAGCCAUUUCUGCGCCAUCUCUCUUUUUGUUCUUUUUUCCUUCUGAAUUAGAAUUAAUUAGAGCAAGCCCUUUUUUAGCUUUCUCAGCGAUUGUUAAAUGAGCUCUGACGAGAAGAAAGAAAGAAAGAAAGGGGAGGAAGAAACAAGGCUAGAAGCCUAGCUAGCUGCAGCAAGAUGUUAAAUGCCCUUGCUUCUUCCUUUUGCAGAUUUUUUAUUUUUUCCUUUUUUCUCCACCCUGUACCUGCUGUUAAACAUUAAUGUUCCUAUAUUAAUUGCUGCAAUUACUUUUCUUCAUCUA